rnacentral:lncRNA from 1 species
CAACACAUCCACACAAGCUCCCAACUUGAGAGUGUCGAUGGGACACGUGUUCUUUGGUGGUGAUGGGGUUGGCACUGGUGUUGGUGGUGGUGGAGGAGGACAUGGUGUCUCAGUGGGUGGAGGAGGCUUAACUGGUACAACUGGGGUAGGUGUAGGUGUUGGUGGGCUUGGUGGUACAACAGGUGGUGAUGGUGGUGGCUUAACUGGUACAACUGGGGUAGGUGUUGGUGUUGGUGGGCUUGGUGGUACAACAGGUGGUGAUGGUGGUGGCUUAACUGGUACAACUGGGGGCUUGGGUACAUAGGGUGGUGGGGGUUGUACAACUGGGGGCUUGGGUACAUAUGGUGGUGGUGGUUGUACAACUGGGGGUUUGGGGAUGAAGGGUGGGUGCACAAUUGGGGGUUUAGGGAUAAAAGGUGGGUGCACGAUUGGGG